UUCUAUCAUGAAUGCAGUACUUUGAUUGGCUACACUGCACACACUAGAUGUUCUGUUGUUGACAGUGAGUAGCCUAGCAGUAUGCAGUUGUUAACAAAAUGGUGGCCAUUACUUUGCAUUCUCAUGUGAAGAGGAUUUAGAUAGAGUUUUGAACGUCUGGUAGAUUUACACUAAAACAAUUAUAACAGAUAAUUUGCUCUCCACAUUUAUGUGUGAUAGUUUACUUGAGGUGCGCCCUCCUCAACUAUCAUGCGAUAGAAAUCUCAAGCUCAUAAUCUAAUUGUUAAUUAGAAGGUUUUUGGUUUGAACCUCUCUCCCCCUGGAAAUUCCAGUUCAGCUUCAUACUUUCCUGAAUAAAAUUGUUGGCUUUUAAGAUCCCCACCUCCUCAGAAUUUCCAGUGACCUUCCAUGGGCUGUAAUAUAUAUAUUGUUGGGACUGCACCUUAUUUCUUCUGGUACAUGCAUAUAUGUGGAAGAUUUGAGACCAGUUUCAUCAUAUUUUUUAGGUACCAAAAACAUGCGAGAAUUUUAUGAAGCUUUGUAGUGAAGGCUAUUACGAUAAUACAAUUUUUCACAGAUCUAUAAGAAAUUUUAUGAUUCAAGGAGGGGAUCCUACUGGAACUGGGCGAGGAGGGGAAUCGACGUGGGGCGAGGCUUUUAAGGACGAGUUCAAACCGAAUUUAAUACAUCAAGGUUAGAAGGAUGAAUAAAGGCACUUUUUUAUCUUGUAGACAUGUAGCAUCUUUGUUUUUUCCUCCGUUGUACAUGUACAUUGCAUCUCUAUUGUACAGUAAUAGUAAGUAGAAAAUAGCUCAUGGAAAAUACGCGCUCUGGUUGGUUUAGAAUCGUGCCUCUAUUAAACAAUUAGAUUAUGAGCUCAAGAUUUCUAUCGCUGCACCUUCGUCAACUAUCACGCUUAGAAAU